rnacentral:lncRNA from 1 species
UCAAACUCUAUAUAUAUGGCUAACAAGUUCUCUUUCUUUUUUUGUGUUCUCCUUGUGACAUUGGCUGGUAAGUGAUUUUCAAUAUUCGUCUGUUUGAUCAAAUUUUUAAAAUUUAAUUUUUUUCAAAAGUAUUUUUUUGUUAGAAUAUAUUCUCAGUGAACGAUAAGAUGUGUUCAACUAAUUGAUUAGAUAAAUAUUUUUGUUAAUUUUAAAACAUAAUUUAUAUUUUGAUCAAAUUUUCAAAAAAGUUGUAUUUCUUAUAAAAUAAAUAUCUUUAGCUUAUCGCUUAUCUGUAAUUUGGUCAAAUAAAAUAUUAGUCUCUUUAAUACGUUUACUUUGAUAAAAAUUAUAACUUAUUAGAUUCAUUGUUUAUGUUUUAUAAUUGAUAUUAUUCCUAGAUUAUAUACUAACUAUGAACUCAUUGUUUAUGUUUUAUAAUUGAUAUUAUUCCUAGAUUAUAUACUAACUAUGAACUCAUUGUUUAUGUUUUAUAAUUGAUAUUAUUCCUAGAUUAUAUACUAACUAUGAACUCAUUGUUUAUGUUUUAUAAUUGAUAUUAUUCCUAGAUUAUAUACUAACUAUGAACUCAUUGUUUAUGUUUUAUAAUUGAUAUUAUUCCUAGAUUAUAUACUAACUAUGAACUCAUUGUUUAUGUUUUAUAAUUGAUAUUAUUCCUAGAUUAUAUACUAACUAUGAACGAUUAUUCACAUAAUAUAUAUAGAUUAUAAAGAUAUUAUAUAGUUAUCAAUUAUAUUUAGAUGCUAUUUAUCUAUAAUCAUUUCUCUCUACUUACAUUAAUUUUGACUGAUUUCAUGUUAUAUUAUGUUAUAUUAUGCAGUCGAUUCAUUUUGGUCCUCGAAUAUACAAGUGAUGGCUUUACGAGACAUACCUUUAGAAGUACAAGAAAUUGAGCAGAUUGUACUACCAAAUCUUGGCAAUAAAAAAGGAUGUUACACUCUUUGUUCAUCAGAUGCAAAUUGCAAUUACAAAGGUUCAGAGUGUAGACAAUGUCGAACAGCUCAUAAUCAUUAUGAUAUUACAAAAAGAUGUUAUCAAAGAAUUUAAUUUUAAUAUCAUAUAAUAAAAUUAAUUACUAUUAGUUUUAUGGUCUCAUUUCUUUUUUUAUUAUGAAUAAAUAUAUGUAAUGAGUACUAAAACUCCUAAGUUUGUAAUAGUGUGUUAUUUGUAUUCUUCAUGAGUAUGUUAUUUGAUUUUCUUAAUAAAGAGUGAUCUAGAGAUUAAAAUAAGAUUUUUCUUGUUUCUGC